rnacentral:rRNA from 1 species
UAGACAUGCAAGUCGAGCGAUGAAGUCCCUUCGGGGAUGGAUUAGCGGCAAACGGGUGCGUAACACGUGAGCAACCCGCCUUGAAGUGGGGGAUAGCCCGGGGAAACCCGGAUUAAUACCGCAUGUGGUCCUUUUUCGCAUGGAAGAGGAACCAAAGCUUGUAAAGGCGCUUCAAGAGGGGCUCGCGGNCUAUCAGCUUGUUGGUGAGGUAAAAGCUCACCAAGGCAAAGACGGGUAGCUGGUCUGAGAGCACGGCCCCCCACAAUGGGACUGAGACACGGCCCAUACUCCUACGGGAGGCAGCAGCAGGGAAUAUUGCACAAUGGACGGAAGUCUGAUGCAGCGACGCCGCGUGAGUGAAGAAGGCCUUCGGGUUGUAAAACUCUUUUGAGGGGGAAGAGCGAGGACGGUACCCCUGGAAUAAGCGUCGGCUAACUACGUGCCAGCAGCCGCGGUAAGACGUAGGACGCGAGCGUUAUCCGGAUUUACUGGGCGUAAAGCGUCUGUAGGCGGAUGUGUAAGUUGGGCGUGAAAGCUCCGGGCUUAACCCGGAGAGGCCGUUCAAUACUGCAUAACUUGAGGGUGUCAGAGGGGAGCGGAAUUCCCGGUGUAGCGGUAAAAUGCGCAGAGAUCGGGAGGAACACCAGUGGCGGAGGCGGUUCCCUGGGGCACACCUGACGCUGAGAGACGAAAGCUAGGGGAGCGAACAGGAUUAGAGACCCUGGUAGUCCUAGCCCUAAACGAUGAAUGCUAGGUGUGGGAUCGAAUGGUUCCGUGCCGGAGCGAACGCGAUAAGCAUUCCGCCUGGGGAG